rnacentral:miRNA from 1 species
UAUGACCGAUUUAAUAUAUGGCU